rnacentral:RNase_P_RNA from 2 species
GCACUCUUUAACGCUGCACUUCUUCGUGAACAUACGAUGUUUUAAAAAAACAUAAAAACGAAGGGUUAAGGUCGGAGAAUCAUCCUCAGUUGUUGCUCGUGAUGAGCUUAGCGCUAGUAUGUGCUUACAACUGCAUUAGAAAGAUACGGCUUAAGUUUUAUAUAGCCUUGAGAGGUCAGUUGUGAGGAUUAGACGUGUUAAUGUCUUUAAGUGCAAUGUGCAGCACCCCUAUUUUGGAGACAACUCAAUUCCGACUAGUCUUUAGAGUGC